rnacentral:lncRNA from 1 species
AGCAGACAGACCUGAUCUGCCGAUUCCCGAUCAAAGCGGACGAUCAGGCCGAACCCAGAGCGUGCAUGCUCCCUUCGUGUCCCUUGUCCUAAGUUAAUGAGUAAACUUUGGUUAGGACGUUUGGCUUGUGAUAUUUCGGUGGCGGACACCCAACGUCUUAUCCUUCACUUAAACUUAAUCCUGCAGACCCAGCACCGGGGCAGGUUAGCCUUUUCUUCUCCAAGCUCACCCGCCCUCGCCCCUAUAAACUACCAAUGGACAUCCUCUGUGUUGGUCACUGGGAAGCACUGAAGGCUCGAAGGUGAUCUUUGAAAUAGCAUGGAGGAUUGCAACGCGUGGACUGCACAGCCUCUCUCUUCUGACGACAUGCCCAGCUGUAUCACAGAGGAGAGUGUUAAGUCAGAACGGCGAUCUCCAUGACGACGGAGGGGAGCGGCUACCAAAAUGACCUUCCAAAGGACGGCCACCUCUGAAUGCUGUGAUACAGUGGUAACAUGGGAAAAUAAAGUCUAGCUAUUAGGAAUGAACUCUGUGAGGAGAAAGGAACCUUUAUUUAGGAAUUGUGUGAGAGAAAAGAGAGGUACAAGGAAAAUACAUUUCGAAGAUCUAACGACCACCACUUAUCUUAUCUCAAGAC